rnacentral:misc_RNA from 1 species
GUUGAUGAAACAGAGUAAUAGGAUCAGAAAAGAGGAGCUCACGUGUAAUUUCACAAAAAGGGUGGUUUGGUGAGGGGGGAAGGAAACAGAUCUUCGCGAAGCCAAAACACGAAUCAGCUCAAAAGCUUUGAAAUCUCUCAUGGCUGCAGCAUCAGUUAAGCCUUAUGAGACAAAGAAGAUGCACCGUGAAAUGGAACUUUCUCCUAAACUCAUAUGCCCA